CCUACGGGUGGCAGCAGUGAGGAAUAUUGGUCAAUGGCCGGAAGGCUGAACCAGCCAUGCCGCGUGAAGGUCAGUGCCCUAUGGGCGUUAAACUUCUUUUGUGCGGGAGCAAUAAUGGUCACGUGUGGCCAGACGAGAGUACCGUACGAAUAAGCAUCGGCUAACUCCGUGCCCGCAGCCGCGGUAAUACGGGUGAAGCAAGCGUUAUCCGGAUUUAUUGGGUUUAAAGGGUGCGUAGGCUGUGAGGUAAGGCCGCGGUGAAAUGCCCCGGCUCAACGGGGUGAAGUGCCAUUGAUACUGCCUUGCUGGAAUGCGGAUGCCGUGGGAGGAAUGUGUGGUGUAGCGGUGAAAUGCAUAGAUAUCACACAGAACACCGAUUGUGAAGGCAUCUCGCGGAUCCGCGAUUGACGCUGAUGCACGAAAGCGUGGGUAUCAAACAGGAUUAGAUACCCCAGUAGUC
rnacentral:rRNA from 1 species